rnacentral:lncRNA from 1 species
AGUGACAUACCUGUUCCUUUGUCCAUGUCUCCGUCUGAGAUAUUUACGGAUGCAUUACUUCUCAGAAUCC